rfam:Trichobilharzia regenti genome assembly, scaffold: TRE_scaffold0031371
GGGUUGCUGAAGAGUCCCAGACUAGAACGAAACAGCCGUCCAGUAC